GACGAACCGUGCGACCGUUGUUCGGAAUUACUGGGCGUAAAGGGCUCGUAGGCGGCCAACUAAGUCCGACGUGAAAUCCCCAGGCUUAACCUGGGAACUGCGUCGGAUACUGGAUGGCUUGAAUCCGGGAGAGGGAUGCGGAAUUCCAGGUGUAGCGGUGAAAUGCGUAGAUAUCUGGAGGAACACCGGUGGCGAAGGCGGCAUCCUGGACCGGCAUUGACGCUGAGGAGCGAAAGCCAGGGGAGCAAACGGG
rnacentral:rRNA from 1 species